rnacentral:rRNA from 1 species
AACAUCUAAGUACCCCGAGGAAAAGAAAUCAACCGAGAUUCCCCCAGUAGCGGCGAGCGAACGGGGAGCAGCCCAGAGCCUGAAUCAGUGUGUGUGUUAGUGGAAGCGUCUGGAAAGGCGCGCGAUACAGGGUGACAGCCCCGUACACAAAAAUGCACAUACUGUGAGCUCGAUGAGUAGGGCGGGACACGUGGUAUCCUGUCUGAAUAUGGGGGGACCAUCCUCCAAGGCUAAAUACUCCUGACUGACCGAUAGUGAACCAGUACCGUGAGGGAAAGGCGAAAAGAACCCCGGCGAGGGGAGUGAAAAAGAACCUGAAACCGUGUACGUACAAGCAGUGGGAGCACGCUUAGGCGUGUGACUGCGUACCUUUUGUAUAAUGGGUCAGCGACUUAUAUUCUGUAGCAAGGUUAACCGAAUAGGGGAGCCGAAGGGAAACCGAGUCUUAACUGGGCGUUAAGUUGCAGGGUAUAGACCCGAAACCCGGUGAUCUAGCCAUGGGCAGGUUGAAGGUUGGGUAACACUAACUGGAGGACCGAACCGACUAAUGUUGAAAAAUUAGCGGAUGACUUGUGGCUGGGGGUGAAAGGCCAAUCAAACCGGGAGAUAGCUGGUUCUCCCCGAAAGCUAUUUAGGUAGCGCCUCGUGAAUUCAUCUCCGGGGGUAGAGCACUGUUUCGGCAAGGGGGUCAUCCCGACUUACCAACCCGAUGCAAACUGCGAAUACCGGAGAAUGUUAUCACGGGAGACACACGGCGGGUGCUAACGUCCGUCGUGAAGAGGGAAACAACCCAGACCGCCAGCUAAGGUCCCAAAGUCAUGGUUAAGUGGGAAACGAUGUGGGAAGGCCCAGACAGCCAGGAUGUUGGCUUAGAAGCAGCCAUCAUUUAAAGAAAGCGUAAUAGCUCACUGGUCGAGUCGGCCUGCGCGGAAGAUGUAACGGGGCUAAACCAUG